rnacentral:rRNA from 1 species
AUUUUUGACAAUGGGGGAAACCCUGAUCCAGCCAUCCCGCGUGUAUGAUGAAGGCCUNNNGGUUGNACAGUACUUUUGGCAGANAAGNAAAGGUAUCCCCUAAUACGAGAUACUCCUGACGGUAUCUGCAGGAUAAGCACCGGCUAACUACGUGCCAGCAGCCGCGGUAAUACGAAGGGUGCAAUCGUUAAUCGGAAUUACUGGGCGUAAAGCGUGUGUAGGCGGUUCGGAAAGAAAGAUGUGAAAUCCCAGGGCUCAAACUUGGAACUGCAUUUUUAAAUGCCGGGCUAGAGUAUGUCAGAGGGGGGUAGAAUUCCACGUGUAGCAGUGAAAUGCGUAGAUAUGUGGAGGAAUACCGAUGGCGAAGGCAGCCCCCUGGGAUAAUACUGACGCUCAGACACGAAAGCGUGGGGAGCAAACAG